rnacentral:rRNA from 1 species
GAGCGAGAACGGGGCUUCGGCUCCUAGUAAAGCGGCGGACGGGUGAGUAAUGCGUAGGUAAUCUUCCCUCGAGCGGGGGACAACGUUCCGAAAGGGACGCUAAUACCGCAUACGUUCUCCGAGACUCCGGUCUUGGAGAGGAAAGCUAGGUAGCAAUAUCUGGCACUCGAGGAGGAGCCUACGUCGCAUCAGCUAGUUGGUGGGGUAACGGCCUACCAAGGCGAAGACGCGUAGCUGGUCUGAGAGGAUGAUCAGCCACACUGGGACUGAGACACGGCCCAGACUCCUACGGGAGGCAGCAGUGGGGAAUAUUGGACAAUGGGCGCAAGCCUGAUCCAGCCACGCCGCGUGAGUGAUGAAGGCCUUCGGGUCGUANAGCUCUGUGGGGAGGGACGAACCGCCGCUGGUUUAUACCCAGCGGCAUGACGGUACCUCCUUNAGCAGCACCGGCUAACUUCGUG